UCUCCUGUAAACAAAGACAGGCACAUGGUGUUACACAAUAUACUCUCCAUACGUGGGGGGGAAAUCAUGGGACCCAUCAAGAGCACAAAGCAUACCUUAUCUUCAGCAGUGCCCUCGCCUUCGUCGUCAUCAUCAUCGUCGUCUGCCUUCUACACCAGUUUACCUUCACCCUCCUCCAUAUUUUCCUCUUCAUCUUCAUGAGAUUCUUCCACCUCUGCCACCACCUCUCCAUUCUGUUCUUCAGCUUCUUUCGCCUCACCCUUGGGAGCCGGCACCACGGCAACGCCAACCUCACCC